rnacentral:sRNA from 1 species
CCCGGGUUCGAGUCCCGGCAACGGAGUUUUUUUUA